rnacentral:rRNA from 1 species
GACGAACGCUGGCGGCGUGCUUAACACAUGCAAGUCGAACGGAAAGGCCCUGCUUUUGUGGGGUGCUCGAGUGGCGAACGGGUGAGUAACACGUGAGUAACCUGUCCUUGACUUUGGGAUAACUUCAGGAAACUGGGGCUAAUACCGGAUAGGAGCUCCUGCUGGAUGGUGGGGGUUGGACAGUUUCGGCGGUUGGGGCUGGACGCGCGGCUUGUCAGCGUGUGGGUGGGGUAGUGGCUUCCCAAGGCUCUGCCGGGUAGCCGGCCUGAGAGGGGGACCGGGCACAUUGGGACUGAGAUACGGCCCAGACUCCUACGGGAGGCAGCAGGGGGGAAUAGUGCACAAUGGGCGGAAGCCUGAUGCAGCAACGCCGCGUGCGGGAUGACGGCCUUCGGGUUGUAAACCGCUUUCGCCUGUGACGAAGCGUGAGUGACGGUAAUGGGUAAAGAAGCACCGGCUAACUACGUG